AUAAACUCUACCCCACCCUCUUUGUUUCAAGUAUUUUUUUUUCACAAGGAGUCCCAAUGUUAUAUUCACAUGAGACCACAGACAAGUGCAUUUGAUCUUCAGUCCUCUACAUUUGUAGUAGACCGAUAAAUAGGUUUAUUUCUGUCAGGGAUAUGCUCCCCUGAGAUUUCAUGUGGCUCCGCAGCAUCCCGUCCCACCAAAAAAAAAUCAGAAAAUGUUGAACGACUCCUCUGAAACAGCGGAUUUUAUCAAUCUACAUUUGUAGCUGCUUUAUUAUUUUUUUCUUUGAUAUACCUUGACAUUGCAGUAUGAUUGAUGAAUAAAUAUUUUUUUCAUUAUUUUUUUUCUUCCAUAUCAGCAACAGACCAUACAUACUCGGCAGAUUGUGCUCAAUCAAGACAAAGCAAACAUGGCUCACAAUUUUGAACUGCUGUGCCGUCUUGCAAGAGAGUGAGAUUCAGCAACACAUAGAAAGACCACAGCAUAGAUUAAGAGACAGGAAGAAUCCAUUUGAAUACUACGAGGAUGAACCUCUCAGAGUGGGGUACCAACAGAGAGAACCACACAUUGCCUGUCAUGUUACAGGUUUUGACAGGACUUUGUUUUAUGUCAUUGGUACCUUUUAGAAGAUGCAAGCAGACGAAGCAACUAUAUCACAGUCAUCCGUGUGCAGAAUCAUCAAAGAUUUUUCUGAGGCAAUAGCAAGGAGUAACAGUCAAUGAAGUUUCCGAUGACGAGAAAUUCAAACCA